rnacentral:tRNA from 1 species
GCCGGGGUAGCCAAGCGGUAAGGCGGCCGUCUCGAAAACGGCUACGCGAAAGCGUGCAGGGGUUCGAAUCCCUUUCCCGGCGCCA